AUCCAUAUAUGUUAAUACUUUUGCGAACGUUACUUGAACUUCAGUUCAAGAAACUUGGGAAGGGACUAUGAUAAAAGUUUAAAAGGCUGCCUUUUCCUUAUUUAUUUGAUAGUGAAAGGUAUUUUGUUGAAAACUAAGCCAGCAGGAAAAUAGUCAGUUUUGCUUCUGUUUUCUUCUUCUUCUUCUUUGUGAAGCAAGAGAAUGGAAGUGGUCCUCUGUGGUAGAGCAGUUUUGCUAGCAAACCUGCCAUCUUGAUUGCAAGUUUACGUGGAGUCUUGGUCCAGCGAUAACAAGUUUGCUUCUUUGAUGCAUUUUGCAAUAUUGUUAUAUUUGAUCAUUUUUGCUCAACUAUAUUGCUGUCUUUGCUGCUAGGCUGCUUCAAUUCCUGUUGUCUUGGUUGAGAAUAGUGGCAGAUGUAACAAGAAUGAAAGUGACGAAAAGGAAGGAGGAGAGGCCUGAGUACUGAAUGUGAUGAAUAGCCCACUCAGAGAUAAAUACGACCUGGGUGCUGGAGAUGUUUAGUAAAGAAAGGUAUUAAGACUAAUCGGCAUGUUUGCUGGGGUAUUGUCCUGAAAGUUGUCGUGGUGAAGCAGACCAAGGCCAAGCAGGCGCUGCUGAGUUGUAUUUUUUACAGGGUCGAGAAUAACAGCCAUCCAUCCACUUGUCAUCUUUGAAUUUCGAGUUGGUUGAAACCCAAUUGAUAUUCAUCGAGUCAGCCUCAUCUUAUUCGAGUGAAAGGGAAGCAAGCAUGCAAGAAAUGGAGUUGAUAUACAGCCGACAUACCUGUUAUACAGGUGUAAAAUGGGAUGUAUAUGUCCAAUAUACAGGAGAAGUAGAUGAUAUAAGCUAUUUAGCUUUAGUUUGAUUUAAUUAAAGUAUCCUUAAUUAAAUUCUUCUAAAGAUCCCAAUUUUCUUUU